UCGGGAAUUUUGGGCAAUGGGCGAAAGCCUGACCCAGCAACGCCGCGUGAGGGAUGAAGUAUUUCGGUAUGUAAACCUCGAACGAAUGGGAAGAAUAAAUGACGGUACCAUUUAUAAGCUCCGGCUAACUACGUGCCAGCAGCCGCGGUAAUACGUAGGGAGCAAGCGUUGUUCGGAUUUACUGGGCGUAAAGGGCGCGUAGGCGGCGCGGUAAGUCACUUGUGAAAUCUCUGAGCUUAACUCAGAACGGCCAAGUGAUACUGCUGUGCUAGAGUGCGGAAGAGGCAACCGGAAUUUUUGGUUUAGCGGUGAAAUGCGUAGAUAUCAAGAGGAACACCUGAGGCGAAGGCGGGUUGCUGGGCCGACACUGACGCUGAUGCGCGAAAGCCAGGGGAGCAAACG
rnacentral:rRNA from 1 species